GAUGAACGCUGGCGGCGUGCCUAAUACAUGCAAGUCGAGCGAACGGACGAGAAGCUUGCUUCUCUGAUGUUAGCGGCGGACGGGUGAGUAACACGUGGAUAACCUACCUAUAAGACUGGGAUAACUUCGGGAAACCGGAGCUAAUACCGGAUAAUAUUUUGAACCGCAUGGUUCAAAAGUGAAAGACGGUCUUGCAGUCACCUAUAGAUGGAUCCGCGCUACAUUAGCUAGUUGGUAAGGUAACGGCUUACCAAGGCAACGAUGCAUAGCCGACCUGAGAGGGUGAUCGGCCACACUGGAACUGAGACACGGUCCAGACUCCUACGGGAGGCAGCAGUAGGGAAUCUUCCGCAAUGGGCGAAAGCCUGACGGAGCAACGCCGCGUGAGUGAUGAAGGUCUUCGGAUCGUAAAACUCUGUUAUUAGGGAAGAACAUAUGUGUAAGUAACUGUGCACAUCUUGACGGUACCUAAUCAGAAAGCCACGGCUAACUACGUGCCAGCAGCCGCGGUAAUACGUAGGUGGCAAGCGUUAUCCGGAAUUAUUGGGCGUAAAGCGCGCGUAGGCGGUUUUUUAAGUCUGAUGUGAAAGCCCACGGCUCAACCGUGGAGGGUCAUUGGAAACUGGAAAACUUGAGUGCAGAAGAGGAAAGUGGAAUUCCAUGUGUAGCGGUGAAAUGCGCAGAGAUAUGGAGGAACACCAGUGGCGAAGGCGACUUUCUGGUCUGUAACUGACGCUGAUGUGCGAAAGCGUGGGGAUCAAACAGGAUUAGAUACCCUGGUAGUCCACGCCGUAAACGAUGAGUGCUAAGUGUUAGGGGGUUUCCGCCCCUUAGUGCUGCAGCUAACGCAUUAAGCACUCCGCCUGGGGAGUACGACCGCAAGGUUGAAACUCAAAGGAAUUGGCGGGGACCCGCACAAGCGGUGGAGCAUGUGGUUUAAUUCGAAGCAACGCGAAGAACCUUACCAAAUCUUGACAUCCUUUGACAACUCUAGAGAUAGAGCCUUCCCCUUCGGGGGACAAAGUGACAGGUGGUGCAUGGUUGUCGUCAGCUCGUGUCGUGAGAUGUUGGGUUAAGUCCCGCAACGAGCGCAACCCUUAAGCUUAGUUGCCAUCAUUAAGUUGGGCACUCUAAGUUGACUGCCGGUGACAAACCGGAGGAAGGUGGGGAUGACGUCAAAUCAUCAUGCCCCUUAUGAUUUGGGCUACACACGUGCUACAAUGGACAAUACAAAGGGCAGCGAAACCGCGAGGUCAAGCAAAUCCCAUAAAGUUGUUCUCAGUUCGGAUUGUAGUCUGCAACUCGACUACAUGAAGCUGGAAUCGCUAGUAAUCGUAGAUCAGCAUGCUACGGUGAAUACGUUCCCGGGUCU
rnacentral:rRNA from 1 species